AGCAGCCGCGGUAAUUCCAGCUCCAAUAGCGUAUAUUAAAGUUGUUGCAGUUAAAAAGCUCGUAGUUGAAUUUCGGGGUCUAUCCAUUGGUCGGGCUUUACGGUCCGUACUGGUGUGAUGGAUUCCUACCUUCUGAAUAACCUGCAUGCUAUUAAUUUAGUGCGCUGGGGAAGCAGGACUGUUACCUUGAAAAAAUUAGAGUGCUUAAAGCAGGCUAUUGCCUGAAUACAUUAGCAUGGAAUAAUGAAAUAGGACGGCAUGGUUCUAUUUUGUUGGUUUCUAGGAUCACCGUAAUGAUUAAUAGGGAUAGUUGGGGGCAUUAGUAUUCAAUUGUCAGAGGUGAAAUUCUUGGAUUUAUUGAAGACUAACUUCUGCGAAAGCAUUUGCCAAGGAUGUUUUCAUUAAUCAAGAACGAAAGUUAGGGGAUCGAAGACGAUCAGAUACCGUCGUAGUCUUAACCAUAAACUAUGCCGACUAGGGAUCGGAUGAUGUUAAUUUUAUAAUGACUCAUUCGGCGCCU
rnacentral:rRNA from 1 species